CCUAUGUGGUUUCGUCACACAUUGAGUUAGCCUCAGAGCCUUAAAUUGUGGGUGACUCCCCGACCAAAGAGAUUGAAAGACACAGAGCAGAUCAAUAGCUAACUUUGAGAAGUUUGUUGUGUUGUGUUGAGUAGCGGUAGAUCGGUAGCCGAGCUGAUC
rnacentral:sRNA from 21 species